AGAUAACAGCCCACCAAGCCGACGAUCGGUAGCCGGACUGAGAGGUUGAACGGCCACAUUGGGACUGAGACACGGCCCAGACUCCUACGGGAGGCAGCAGUGGGGAAUAUUGCACAAUGGGGGAAACCCUGAUGCAGCGACGCCGCGUGAAGGAAGAAGUAUCUCGGUAUGUAAAGCUCUAUCAGCAGGGAAGAAGAAAGACGGUACCUGACUAAGAAGCCCCGGCUAACUAC
rnacentral:rRNA from 1 species